GCAUAUCAAUAAGCGGAGGAAAAGAAACCAACAGGGAUUGCCUUAGCUGCGGCGAGUGAGCGGCAAGAGCUCAAAUUUGAAAUCUGGUACCUUCGGUGCCCGAGUUGUAAUUUGAAGAAAGCUAUCUUGGAGGUGGCCUUUGUCUAUGUUCCUUGGAACAGGACGUCAUGGAGGGUGAGAAUCCCGUGUGAUGAGGUGUCCAUUUCCGUGUAAGAUGCUUUCGAAGAGUCGAGUUGUUUGGGAAUGCAGCUCAAAGUGGGUGGUAAAUUCCAUCUAAAGCUAAAUAUUGGCGAGAGACCGAUAGCGAACAAGUACUGUGAAGGAAAGAUGAAAAGAACUUUGAAAAGAGAGUGAAAAAGUACGUGAAAUUGUUGAAAGGGAAGGGUAUUUGAUCAGACUUGGUAUUUAGCUAUCAUCGCUCCUUGUGGGUGGUGCUCUAGCUUUUUACUGGGCCAGCAUCAGUUUUGGUGGCAAGAUAAUGACAGUUGAAUGUGGCUCCUCGGAGUGUUAUAGCUUCUGUUGAUGUUGCCUACCGAGACUGAGGUCUGCGGCUUUUGCCUAGGAUGCUGGCGUAAUGAUCCAAUACCGCCCGUCUUGAAACACGGACC
rnacentral:rRNA from 1 species